rnacentral:misc_RNA from 1 species
UGAGGAAUUGAGAUGUCGGAUUUUGUAUUGAUCACACGAUUUCUGAAUCCUCGGACCAUUCAGAUUCUUAGCGUUAUCAGUGACGAUUUCAUUAGGGAGGCCAUGCCGGUAAAUGAUGUUGCUUCUGAGGAAUCUGAGAAACGUAUUCUGUGUGAUGUGCGCAUAGGAUGUCGCCUCGACCCACUUGGAGAAAUAGUCGAUGGCUACAAGGAUGAAUCUGUGCCCAUUG